rnacentral:rRNA from 1 species
UGAGGAAUAUUGGACAAUGGGCGCAAGCCUGAUCCAGCGACGCCGCGUGAGUGAUGAAGGCCUUUGGGUCGUAAAGCUCUGUCAGCAGGGAAGAACGGCCGUGUGGUUAAUACCCAUGCGGAUUGACGGUACCUGCAGACGAAGCACCGGCUAACUCCGUGCCAGCAGCCGCGGUAAUACGGAGGGUGCGAGCGUUAAUCGGAAUUACUGGGCGUAAAGGGCGCGUAGGCGGCUAAUCAAGUCAGGUGUGAAAGCCCACGGCUUAACCGUGUGAAGUGCAUCUGAAACUGGUUGGCUUGAGUAUCGGAGAGGAAAGUGGAAUUCCCGGUGUAGAGGUGAAAUUCGUAGAUAUCGGGAGGAAUACCGGUGGCGAAGGCGACUUUCUGGACGAAUACUGACGCUGAGGCGCGAAAGCGUGGGGAGCAAACAGG